rnacentral:lncRNA from 12 species
GGGAAAGCAUUAUAUGUAUAAAAUACAUUAUAAACAGGAUUGUGUGUUUGACUGUCCUCAAGGCAUCUUCCAUUUAAGAUAUGUACUUUAAACUAUAUUCUUGCCAACUGCUGCAUUGUGAAAGAAGAUGAGAAAUUGCCUGGCCAUAAGAAAUAGAGUCUAUGUAAAAU